rnacentral:rRNA from 1 species
GUGCGAAGGUAGCGCAAUCACUUGUCUUUUAAAUGGAGACCUGUAUGAAUGGCAUAACGAGGGCUUAACUGUCUCCUCUUUCAAGUCAAUGAAAUUGAUCUCCCCGUGCAGAAGCGGGGAUAAAACCAUAAGACGAGAAGACCCUAUGGAGCUUUAGACACCAAGGCGGCCCACAGUUAAUGACACCAGAACAAAGGACCAAACAACUCAACACUCCGCCCUAAUGUCUUUGGUUGGGGCGACCGCGGGGUAGUAAAAAACUCCCGCGUGGAACGAGAGGACUCCCCUCUUACAACUAAGAGCUACCGCUCUAAGAAACAGAAUUUCUGACCUAUCAGAUCCGGCCUGUAGCCGAUCAACGGAACGAGUUACCCUAGGGAUAACAGCGCAAUCCCCUUUUAGAGCCCAUAUCGACAAGGGGGUUUACGACCUCGAUGUUGGAUCAGGACAUCCUAAUGGUGCAGCCGCU